GACGGAAGGUGCAAGCGUUGCUCGGAAUCACUGGGCGUAAAGAGCGUGUAGGCGGCUAGGUAGGUCCGUUGUGAAAACUCGAGGCUCAACCUCGAGACGUCGAUGGAAACCAUCUAGCUAGAGUCCGGAAGAGGAGAGUGGAAUUCCUGGUGUAGCGGUGAAAUGCGCAGAUAUCAGGAAGAACACCCGUGGCGAAGGCGGCUCUCUGGUACGUGACUGACGCUGAGACGCGAAAGCGUGGGGAGCGAACAGG
rnacentral:rRNA from 1 species